UAGGGAAUCUUCCACAAUGGACGCAAGUCUGAUGGAGCAACGCCGCGUGAGUGAAGAAGGUCUUCGGAUCGUAAAGCUCUGUUGUUGGUGAAGAAGGAUAGAGGCAGUAACUGGUCUUUAUUUGACGGUAAUCAACCAGAAAGUCACGGCUAACUACGUGCCAGCAGCCGCGGUAAUACGUAGGUGGCAAGCGUUGUCCGGAUUUAUUGGGCGUAAAGCGAGCGCAGGCGGAAUGAUAAGUCUGAUGUGAAAGCCCACGGCUCAACCGUGGAACUGCAUCGGAAACUGUCAUUCUUGAGUGCAGAAGAGGAGAGUGGAACUCCAUGUGUAGCGGUGGAAUGCGUAGAUAUAUGGAAGAACACCAGUGGCGAAGGCGGCUCUCUGGUCUGCAACUGACGCUGAGGCUCGAAAGCAUGGGUAGCGAACAGGAUUAGAUACCCUGGUAGUCCAUGCCGUAAACGAUGAGCGCUAGGUGUUGGGGCACUUUC
rnacentral:rRNA from 1 species